rnacentral:rRNA from 1 species
AGGACACAUUUGAACAUCGACAUUUCGAACGCACAUUGCGGUCCGUGGAGAAACAUCCAGGACCACUCCUGUCUGAGGGCCG